rnacentral:rRNA from 1 species
GUGGGGAAUAUUGGACAAUGGGCGAAAGCCUGAUCCAGCCAUGCCGCGUGUGUGAAGAAGGUCUUCGGAUUGUAAAGCACUUUAAGUUGGGAGGAAGGGCAGUAAGUUAAUACCUUGCUGUUUUGACGUUACCGACAGAAUAAGCACCGGCUAACUUCGUGCCAGCAGCCGCGGUAAUACGAAGGGUGCAAGCGUUAAUCGGAAUUACUGGGCGUAAAGCGCGCGUAGGUGGUUUUGUAAGUUGGAGGUGAAAUCCCCGGGCUCAACCUGGGAUCUGCCUCCAAAACUGCAUGACUAGAGUACGGUAGAGGGUAGUGGAAUUUCCUGUGUAGCGGUGAAAUGCGUAGAUAUAGGAAGGAACACCAGUGGCGAAGGCGACUACCUGGACUGAUACUGACACUGAGGUGCGAAAGCGUGGGGAGCAAACAGGAUUAGAAACCCUAGUAGUCC